AACGAACGCUGGCGGCAGGCCUAACUCAUGCAAGUCGAGCGCCCCGCAAGGGGAGCGGCGGACGGGUGAGUAACGCGUGGGAACGUGCCCCUUUCUACGGAAUAGCCUCGGGAAACUGGGAGUAAUACCGUAUAAGCCCUACGGGGGAAAGAGUUAUCGGGAAUGGAUCGGCCCGCGUUGGAUUAGGUAGUUGGUGGGGUAAUGGCCUACCAAGCCGACGAUCCAUAGCUGGUUGGAGAGGAUGAUCAGCCACACUGGGACUGAGACACGGCCCAGACUCCUACGGGAGGCAGCAGUGGGGAAUCUUAGGCAAUGGGCGCAAGCCUGAUCUAGCCAUGCCGCGUGAGCGAUGAAGGCCUUAGGGUUGUAAAGCUCUUUCAGUGGGGAAGAUAAUGACAGUACCCACAGAAGAAGCCCCGGCUAACUCCGUGCCAGCCGCCGCAGUAACAC
rnacentral:rRNA from 1 species